AAGUCGUAACAAGGUUUCCGUAGGUGAACCUGCGGAAGGAUCAUUAACACGUAUCCAACGUUAAACAACCCUGUGAACUUUCAGCGCUCUUGUAGCCCCGGAGGAACAGCAAUCCCGGUAAAUCAAAUGGCGGAAAGAGUUUUGAUUCGGGACCUCUGUCCAAAAGGUAUCAAGUUACAAUCGAGCAGAGCAGUGGCAUGGUUUCCCUAAGCAGUGCAGAAGGAUCCACUGAGUAAGGAUAACGCAUCACGGUUGCCAGAGGUCGAUCACCGGCCGGCUCGCGGAAACGCCGGGCAUAAAAACCGAACAACUGUUAACAAUGGAUAUCUUGGUUCUC
rnacentral:misc_RNA from 1 species